UCCCUGUGAUCCAGAGGUUAAGAUUCUGCACUCCCAAUGCAGGGGUCCCAGGUUCAAUCCCUGGCCAGGGAA
rnacentral:tRNA from 1 species